CCACUUCAAAUUGCCUGAAAAAAUCACUAUAUAAGGGGCGUCAGCUUGCUGACUAUGGCAAUAAAUGGUGCGUGCAAUAGGCAUUGCGGACCCGGGGGCAGUACCCGGCGCCUCCACCAAAAGCCCUGCCAGGUAAACGGCCAGAGUAAGGCGGAAAGAGUUUUCAGGGUUUUUGAUGGGGGCGAACCAGGAUCGACGGAUGUUGAAAGACGUUUUUACCUUUUGCCCGGCAUGACACCGCCGUAAUGGGUCAAACACAUAAAUGCUAACGAUAACGAAGCAUUGGCAGUUGCCGCUUAAUGAAAAGCCUAACGGCAAAGUAAUUAAGUACUAACUACCGCGGCCCGGAGGGCGCCGGGCAACAGAAGCCCUCCACU
rnacentral:tmRNA from 1 species